rnacentral:rRNA from 1 species
GGUUAAGCGAACAAGCGUACACGGUGGAUGCCCUGGCAGUCAGAGGCGAUGAAGGACGUGCUAAUCUGCGAAAAGCGCCGGUAAGGUGAUAUGAACCGUUAUAACCGGCGAUGUCCGAAUGGGGAAACCCGGUGCACUUCGGUGCAUCAUCGUUAGCUGAAUACAUAGGCUAACGAGGCGAACCGGGGGAACUGAAACAUCUAAGUACCCCGAGGAAAAGAAAUCAACCGAGAUUCCCCCAGUAGCGGCGAGCGAACGGGGAACAGCCCAGAGCCUGAAUCAGCUUGUGUGUCAGUGGAACGGUCUGGAAAGGCCGGCGAUACAGGGUGACAGCCCCGUACACGAAGGCACACAGGCUGUGAGCUCGAUGAGUAGGGCGGGACACGUGAUAUCCUGUCUGAAGAUGGGGGGACCAUCCUCCAAGGCUAAAUACUCCUGACUGACCGAUAGUGAACCAGUACCGUGAGGGAAAGGCGAAAAGAACCCCGGCGAGGGGAGUGAAACAGAACCUGAAACCGUGUACGUACAAGCAGUGGGAGCCUUCGUAAGAGGGUGACUGCGUACCUUUUGUAUAAUGGGUCAGCGACUUAUAUUCUGUAGCAAGGUUAACCGUAUAGGGGAGCCGAAGGGAAACCGAGUCUUAACCGGGCGUUAAGUUGCAGGGUAUAGACCCGAAACCCGGUGAUCUAGCCAUGGGCAGGUUGAAGGUUGGGUAACACUAACUGGAGGACCGAACCGACUAAUGUUGAAAAAUUAGCGGAUGACCUGUGGCUGGGGGUGAAAGGCCAAUCAAACCGGGAGAUAGCUGGUUCUCCCCGAAAGCUAUUUAGGUAGCGCCUCGUGAACUCAUCUCCGGGGGUAGAGCACUGUUUCGGCUAGGGGGCCAUCCCGGCUUACCAACCCGAUGCAAACUGCGAAUACCGGAGAAUGUUAUCACGGGAGACACACGGCGGGUGCUAACGUCCGUCGUGAAGAGGGAAACAACCCAGACCGCCAGCUAAGGUCCCAAAGUCAUGGUUAAGUGGGAAACGAUGUGGGAAGGCCCAGACAGCCAGGAUGUUGGCUUAGAAGCAGCCAUCAUUUAAAGAAAGCGUAAUAGCUCACUGGUCGAGUCGGCCUGCGCGGAAGAUGUAACGGGGCUAAACCAUGCACCGAAGCUGCGGCAGCGACGCUUAUGCGUUGUUGGGUAGGGGAGCGUUCUGUAAGCCUGCGAAGGUGUGCUGUGAGGCAUGCUGGAGGUAUCAGAAGUGCGAAUGCUGACAUAAGUAACGAUAAAGCGGGUGAAAAGCCCGCUCGCCGGAAGACCAAGGGUUCCUGUCCAACGUUAAUCGGGGCAGGGUGAGUCGACCCCUAAGGCGAGGCCGAAAGGCGUAGUCGAUGGGAAACAGGUUAAUAUUCCUGUACUUGGUGUUACUGCGAAGGGGGGACGGAGAAGGCUAUGUCGGCCGGGCGACGGUUGUCCCGGUUUAAGCGUGUAGGCUGACUUUCCAGGCAAAUCCGGAAAGUUAAGGCUGAGGCGUGAUGACGAGGCACCACGGUGCUGAAGUGACAAAUGCCCUGCUUCCAGGAAAAGCCUCUAAGCAUCAGGUAACAUCAAAUCGUACCCCAAACCGACACAGGUGGUCAGGUAGAGAAUACCAAGGCGCUUGAGAGAACUCGGGUGAAGGAACUAGGCAAAAUGGUGCCGUAACUUCGGGAGAAGGCACGCUGACAUGUAGGUGAAGCCCCUGCGGGUGGAGCUGAAGUCAGUCGAAGAUACCAGCUGGCUGCAACUGUUUAUUAAAAACACAGCACUGUGCAAACACGAAAGUGGACGUAUACGGUGUGACGCCUGCCCGGUGCCGGAAGGUUAAUUGAUGGGGUUAUCGCAAGAGAAGCUCCUGAUCGAAGCCCCGGUAAACGGCGGCCGUAACUAUAACGGUCCUAAGGUAGCGAAAUUCCUUGUCGGGUAAGUUCCGACCUGCACGAAUGGCGUAAUGAUGGCCAGGCUGUCUCCACCCGAGACUCAGUGAAAUUGAACUCGCUGUGAAGAUGCAGUGUACCCGCGGCAAGACGGAAAGACCCCGUGAACCUUUACUACAGCUUGACACUGAACAUUGAGCCUUGAUGUGUAGGAUAGGUGGGAGGCUUUGAAGCGUGGACGCCAGUCUGCGUGGAGCCGACCUUGAAAUACCACCCUUUAAUGUUUGAUGUUCUAACCUGGCGCCGUGAUCCGGCGUGGGGACAGUGUCUGGUGGGUAGUUUGACUGGGGCGGUCUCCUCCCAAAGUGUAACGGAGGAGCACGAAGGUCAGCUAAUCCUGGUCGGACAUCAGGAGGUUAGUGCAAUGGCAUAAGCUGGCUUGACUGCGAGAGUGACGGCUCGAGCAGGUGCGAAAGCAGGUCAUAGUGAUCCGGUGGUUCUGUAUGGAAGGGCCAUCGCUCAACGGAUAAAAGGUACUCCGGGGAUAACAGGCUGAUACCGCCCAAGAGUUCAUAUCGACGGCGGUGUUUGGCACCUCGAUGUCGGCUCAUCACAUCCUGGGGCUGAAGUAGGUCCCAAGGGUAUGGCUGUUCGCCAUUUAAAGUGGUACGCGAGCUGGGUUUAGAACGUCGUGAGACAGUUCGGUCCCUAUCUGCCGUGGGCGCUGGAGAAUUGAGGGGGGCUGCUCCCAGUACGAGAGGACCGGAGUGGACGCAUCACUGGUGUUCGGGUUGUCAUGCCAAUGGCACUGCCCGGUAGCUAAAUGCGGAAGAGAUAAGUGCUGAAAGCAUCUAAGCACGAAACUUGCCCCGAGAUGAGUUCUCCCUGAGACUAUAAGUCUCCUGAAGGAACGUUGAAGACGACGACGUUGAUAGGCCGGGUGUGUAAGCGCAGCGAUGCGUUGAGCUAACCGGUACUAAUGAACCGUGAGGCUUAACCUU